ensembl:lincRNA
AAAUGUCCAUAACCACAAGGAAGGAAAAAGAGAUUAUGUGGUAUGGGUGUGGGGAGAUGCUUGCUUACACUAAUUGAUAUGAAGAGCUCCAUCUUAAUUGUGAAAAGAAAAUUCUGGGCAGGAGAUUCUACACUGUUUGCUGUCCUGAUGCCCAAUGCCAUCAUGAACCUCAGCAGGUAGAAAGUCUUCGGUCAAAGGUGAUAAUCCAGAAAGAUCCUACAAGCAACUGAAAGAGUGAAAUGCAGAUAUUUGCACCCAACCAGUGGACAGAAGCUGCUGAACCCUAUGGUUGAAUUAGGGAAAAGCUGGAAGAAGAUGAGGAGGGAUACAUGGGAGAAUAUAGAGGGAGUAAAGAGAAUGAGAAUAUUAUGUUAUUCAUUCAUGCACUCACAGUAGAGGAAACACUGUGACCAAUGAGCAAUGUGGGAAGGAAAUGGAUUCUUUGGCUUUCACUUCCACAGCACUAUUUAUCAUCAAAGGAAGACACCAGGACAGGAACUCAAAUGAGGCAGGAACUUAGAGGAAGGAGCCGAUGUAAGACCAGAAUGAUGCUGCUUGCUAUCUUGCUCUCUCCAUGGCUUACUCGGGCUUCUUUCCCAACCCUGGGAUCACCAACCCAGGGUUGACACUACCUAAGAUAGGCUGCACAGUCCCACAUCAAUCACGAAUUAACAAAAUGCAUUACAGCCCUGCCUACAACCCAAUUUUAGGGAGGUAAUUUCUCUAUUGAGGUUCCCUUUUCUCACAGGACUUUAACUAGUAUCAAGUUGACAAAACUAUCCAACCCUCAUAUGACCAUAAUAUCCAUCUCAGUUCAGGCUUUCUCAUUGAUUCUUCUGCCUGCCUUCCUCAUUACAUAAUGGAUAAUUUUACCCCAUGGGUCAUUUUAUUUAAACACAUCAUCUAUAUAAAUUUACAAUAAUCACCUUGAUUCCUCAUGUUAUAAUGUAUGAUCAAAGGAACUCAUUUCUUUUUAAUUUAUUUAUUUAUUUAUUUCUCAUAGAAUACAUUCUGACUGCAGCUUCUCCUACCUCCACUCUUCUCAGACCCUCUACACCAUAUGUACACAUCCACAUCCACCCUCAGAGACACCAACUAAAGAAGGCACAAUAAGAUAUUAAUAAGAACAGGCACAAGCCCUCACACCAAGGCUGAAUAAGGUAAAACCACAGGAGGAAAAGUCAGAGACAAGCCUUCACCCUCUGUCAGGAGUCCAGUCAAAAUACAAAGCCGACAACCUUAAUCUAUAUGCAGAGGAUCUUGCUCAGACCCAUGCAGACUUCCUUAUUGCCCCUUCAGUCUCUGUAAGACCUGUGAGACCUGCUUAGUUGAUUCCCCAAGCAAGCCACUGUUUGUCAGAGGAAAUGACUAUACAGUUUCACCAAGUAGCCAUGUUACUAACUUUCUCUGUAUUAUUACCUUUACUAGAAAGCUAUCCACUAAAAGUUUUCAUUAUUGAUUGGUCAAACACACUGUCAAUGUUCACAAUUCUCCCAUGCAUAGGAUGCUGCAAAAUGAAUUUUAACAAACAGCAUGCUAAAAUGCUUAAAGGCCAGAUACUUCCUUUUGAAAAAAUAAUUAAGUCUGGAUUUAUGAAUAUUUAAUUCCAGAAGUCGUGUAAUUUUCCAAUCUAAGUAUUUUCAUUCUUUUGUAUAACCAAAGUCUCAGUGCAUGAAAAUGUCAGUCAGUGAAGCAUUUCAAACUAGAAAGUCAGGCAAUCACAGACCUUCCCCUAAGGGAUAAUACUACUUUAUGCACUUUUUCAAUGUUAUAAAUUUUACUCAAAGUGUCUAAGACUUUGAAGAAGUUCUAUGAUUCUACCAGUAUUUUUUAAUGUGUUAUCAGAAUGAAGAAUUAUUUAUGGC